rfam:Schistosoma mansoni strain Puerto Rico chromosome 1, complete genome
GCACUACUGAGAAGUCCCACCAUAGGACGAAACGGCCGUGCAGUGC